rnacentral:rRNA from 1 species
GAUUAACGCUGGCGGCGUGCAUAACACAUGCAAGUCGAACGAUGAAACUUAACUGAUUUCUUCGGAAUGAUUUUAAGUGGAUUAGUGGCGGACGGGUGAGUAACGCGUGAGUAACCUGCCUUGGAGAAGGGGAUAGCCUUUGGAAACGAAGAAUAAUACCCUAUGAUAUGAUAAUAUCUCAUGAUAUUAUCAUCAAAGAUUUAUCGCUCUAAGAUGGACUUGCGUCUGAUUAGUUAGUUGGUGAGGUAACAGCUCACCAAGGCAGCGAUCAGUAGCCGGCUUGAGAGAGUGUACGGCCACAUUGUGACUGAGACACGGCCCAGACUCCUACGGGAGGCAGCAGUGGGGAAUUUUGCACAAUGGGGGAAACCCUGAUGCAGCGACGCCGCGUGAUUUAGAAGGCCUUCGGGUUGUAAAAAUCUUUUGUAUGGGAAGAAAAUGACAGUACCAUACGAAUAAGGACCGGCUAAUUACGUG